rnacentral:rRNA from 1 species
UACGAAGGGGGCUAGCGUUGUUCGGAGUUACUGGGCGUAAAGGGCGCGUAGGCGGCCUUUCAAGUCGGGUGUGAAAGCCCAGGGCUCAACCCUGGAAUAGCACUCGAGACUGAGAAGCUUGAGGAUGGGAGAGGAUGGUGGAAUUCCCAGUGUAGAGGUGAAAUUCGUAGAUAUUGGGAAGAACACCGGUGGCGAAGGCGGCCAUCUGGACCAUUUCUGACGCUGAGGCGCGAAAGCGUGGGGAGCAAACAGG